rnacentral:misc_RNA from 1 species
GAAGGAUUUAAUUUAAAUACUUGGAAAUGGCUCCACCCUGUCAUUCUCUUAUUUUUAUUGGCUUCAUACAACUUACAUACAUGAACUUGUAGUUCCAGUAACAUGAUAUAUAUCUUGUCUUUUCAGAGGCAGAUAUCAUUGGCAAGAAAUUAGGAGCAAAGGUUCGUGAAACAUGAAGUUUGCCGAUGCUGUAACAAAUUCAAGUAACCAACAUUCUAAUGAUUUAUUGUUGUCAAUUUGGAUAGAGAACACACAGAAAGGAAUAAAAAA